UGGGGAAUCUUGGACAAUGGGCGCAAGCCUGAUCCAGCCAUGCCGCGUGAGCGAUGAAGGCCUUAGGGUUGUAAAGCUCUUUCACCGGUGAAGAUAAUGACGGUAGCCGGAGAAGAAGCCCCGGCUAACUCCGUGCCAGCAGCCGCGGUAAUACGGAGGGGGUUAGCGUUGUUCGGAAUUACUGGGCGUAAAGCGCACGUAGGCGGACCAGAAAGUUGGGGGUGAAAUCCCGGGGGCUCAACCCCGGAACUGCCUCCAAAACUAUUGGUCUAGAGUUCGAGAGAGGUGAGUGGAAUUCCAAGUGUAGAGGUGAAAUUCGUAGAUAUUUGGAGGAACACCAGUGGCGAAGGCGGCUCACUGGCUCGAUACUGACGCUGAGGUGCGAAAGUGUGGGGAGCAAACAGGAUUAGAUACCCUGGGUAGUCCACACCGUAAAACGAUGAAUGCCAGUCGUCGGGUAGCAUGCUAUUCGGUGACACACCU
rnacentral:rRNA from 1 species